UACGCAGGGUGCGAGCGUUGUCCGGAAUUAUUGGGCGUAAAGGGCUCGUAGGCGGUUUGUCGCGUCGGGAGUGAAAACUCAGGGCUUAACCCUGAGCCUGCUUCCGAUACGGGCAGACUAGAGGUAUGCAGGGGAGAACGGAAUUCCUGGUGUAGCGGUGAAAUGCGCAGAUAUCAGGAGGAACACCGGUGGCGAAGGCGGUUCUCUGGGCAUUACCUGACGCUGAGGAGCGAAAGUGUGGGGAGCGAACAGG
rnacentral:rRNA from 1 species